rnacentral:rRNA from 1 species
GCAUCCUGUACGUUUGAAACCAGGUGUUCGAUCGGCUGUGUAGCCGACGACGCCCGCCGCGAACUUAGAAGGGCUUCUUUGGGGUAGACACUUAGUGUCUUUAAAUGUCGUCGCACGUCUCGUUGGAAACCUUACCUUUCUAGUACGUCGACCGAUGGAACGAAAGGAGUUUUUCCGAGACUGCCACCCGGCCCCGUUUUUUUUUUCAUCGUCAACGUGCUUGCGACUGUACCGUAUAUGGAGAAAGGAAAAACGAGAGACAACUUUUAACGGUGGAUCUCUUGGCUCGUGCAUCGAUGAAGAACGCAGCCAGCUGCGAUAAGUAGUGUGAAUUGCAGAAUUCAGUGAAUCAUCGAAUCUUUGAACGCAAAUGGCGCUCUCGGGUUCUCCCGGGAGCACGUCCGUCUGAGUGUCGGCAUACAUAUAAGAUCGCACCGUCGUGCGGCGUUGAGGCGUCGCGGCGUCCAGGCCCGCGUCCCUCGAAAUGCAGGAGAACCGCCGCCUAGCGAGAUCCUCGGAGGCCUAAAACGAAUUGGUUCCCCGCGAUCCGCAGCAAGCAGCCGGUUCGGUUCGAAAAAAAGUGACACCAUAUCGCAUCUCGACCUCAGAUCGGGCGAGACUACCCGCUGAAUUUAAGCAUAUCAAUAAGCGGAGGAAAAGAAACUAACAAGGAUUCCCCCAGUAACGGCGAGUGAAGCGGGAAGAGUCAUG